rnacentral:rRNA from 1 species
UACGAAGGGGGCUAGCGUUGCUCGGAAUGACUGGGCGUAAAGGGCGCGUAGGCGGAUGGUACAGUCAGAUGUGAAAUUCCUGGGCUCAACCUGGGGGCUGCAUUUGAUACGUAUCGUCUUGAGUUCGGAAGAGGGUCGUGGAAUUCCCAGUGUAGAGGUGAAAUUCGUAGAUAUUGGGAAGAACACCGGUGGCGAAGGCGGCGACCUGGUCCGAUACUGACGCUGAGGCGCGAAAGCGUGGGGAGCAAACAGG